AUUUCAGGAUUAUUCGAUUUGCUGACACGAAGCACGAGGAAAUUCGGCUUCUAGGGGAAUCAAAAAAUUCCUGAUAUUCGGAUCGAAUUCCACUUCAUGGGAUUCGAGUCGCUCAUCUUUAGUUGUAUAAUUUCAUGGUGU